CCGCCUACUUCUGUGUCACCUUGUUUGCUUCCUCCACCGGUGCAGGUAGGAUAGCAUCAGCUGUAAUUGCUUUCAUGGGAAGUUAGCCAUUCAAUGCACAUUCACGUGUGGUGUGUCUGGCUCAUGAUGACCGCUGGCCACUGUUAGUGUGUGAGCAUGGUGAUCUCCUCUCCCUCAUGUGUCCGCAGGGACACAGUCUAAUCGGAACCGUGGGCCAGCUGAUUGUUGCCUCGCUGCCUUCGCCUCGCCGCUUCUGAUGCUUUGUUUCCACCCCAUGGCUUUUCUGGCCUCACCUACCCCUGCCUGUUUUGCCUUCACAGCGUGGAGACCUGAACAUAGCUGCACAGUUGGCUAAGCUUUUGAGUCCCUUUUAGCUUGGGUCACUUGUUAAAUGUUUGUGUGGACUGUAGGCUUACUUCCCUUCUUUUGU